UGUGCUUUGGAAUUGAACUGAAUUCAUUUUUAAAGAUGUUUUGGGAGAAACAGCAGCUGCUCUGCAGCCGCGUCACCAGACUCAACCACAGGGUCCGGGUCAGGCCUGGGUCCGGGUCCAGGUCGGGCCCGGGUCGGGUCCAGAGCGGGCCCGGGUCGGGUCCAGAGCGGGCCUGGGUCCGGGCCUGGUCUGGGUCCAGGUCGGGCCCGGGUCGGGUCCAGAGCGGGCCUGGGUCCGGGCCUGGUCUGGGUCCAGAGCGGGCCUGGGUCCGGUCCAAGUCGGUUCCAGAGCGGGUCGGGUCCGGUCUACAGCGGUACCUGCUGGCUGUUUCUGAACACAGGAAUAAAAUGAUCUCAAUCAUCAGAAGCAGGAAAUAAAAUCUGUUACCUGAAAUCCUGCAGCAGCGUCAGUCACUGUGUUUCCGUCACAAAUCUAUUUCACUAAUGUCAAAUAAACUACUUCCUGUCUUCUUCUUCUUCGUAGUUUCCUCCAGAAGUCACUUCCUGUUGGUCAUGUGACUCAUGAUGUGGAAAAUGUUUCCUCCCAACUGAUUUAUUAAAAAUUUACAAAGAAACUACAAAACAUCUGCUGAGGUUUAACCUACAGGCAACAUGGUGAAACACACACACACACACACAAAGACACACACACACACACACACACACACACACCCUCUGAAGUGAAAUCAGCAUGAUGG